UACGGAGGGAGCAAGCGUUACUCGGAAUUAUUGGGCGUAAAGGGCGCGUAGGCGAUCUGAAAAGUUCUGUGUGAAAGCCCACAUGUUAACUGUGGAAGUGCACAGAAAACUGUUGGAUUUGAGUUCAGGAGAGGAAGGCAGAAUUCCCGGUGUAGCGGUGAAAUGCGUAGAGAUCGGGAGGAAUACCAGUGGCGAAGGCGGCUCUCUGGGACGGUACUGACGCUGAGACGCGAAAGCGUGGGGAGCGAACAGG
rnacentral:rRNA from 1 species